rnacentral:rRNA from 1 species
ACGACGCUGGCGGCGUGCCUAAUACAUGCAAGUCGAGCGGACCAAAGGGAGCUUGCUCCUGGAGGUCAGCGGCGAACGGGUGAGUAACACGUGGGCAACCUGCCUGUAAGACUGGGAUAACAUCGAGAAAUCGGUGCUAAUACCGGAUAAUAAAAAGAACUGCAUGGUUCUUUUUGAAAGAUGGUUUCGGCUAUCACUUACAGAUGGGCCCGCGGCGCAUUAGCUAGUUGGUGAGGUAACGGCUCACCAAGGCAACGAUGCGUAGCCGACCUGAGAGGGUGAUCGGCCACACUGGGACUGAGACACGGCCCAGACUCCUACGGGAGGCAGCAGUAGGGAAUCUUCCGCAAUGGACGAAAGUCUGACGGAGCAACGCCGCGUGAGUGAUGAAGGUUUUCGGAUCGUAAAACUCUGUUGUUAGGGAAGAACAAGUGCCGUUCGAAAGGGCGGCACCUUGACGGUACCUAACGAGAAAGCCACGGCUAACUACGUG